rnacentral:rRNA from 1 species
AUGUGGUUAAUUCGACGCAACGCGCUAGAACCUUACCUGGGCUUGACAUCCCGAUCGCAUCCCAUGGAAACAUGGGAGUCAGUUCGGCUGGAUCGGUGACAGGUGCUGCAUGGCUGUCGUCAGCUCGUGUCGUGAGAUGUUGGGUUAAGUCCCGCAACGAGCGCAACCCUUGUCCUUAGUUGCCAGCAUUCAGUUGGGCACUCUAAGGAGACUGCCGGUGUUAAACCGGAGGAAGGUGGGGAUGACGUCAAGUCCUCAUGGCCCUUAUGUCCAGGGCUACACACGUGCUACAAUGGCCGGUACAAAGGGCUGCAAGACCGUGAGGUUGAGCGAAUCCCAGAAAGCCGGUCUCAGUUCGGAUUGGAGUCUGCAACUCGACUCCAUGAAGUUGGAAUCGCUAGUAAUCGCGGAUCAGCAUGCCGCGGUGAAUACGGUUCCCGGGCCUU